AUGCUUCACCCUUGUGACAUACCUAUAACUGUUGCUUCGGCGGGUAGGGUCUCCGUGACCCUCCCGGCCUCCCGCCCCCGGGCGGGUCGGCGCCCGCCGGAGGAUAACCAAACUCUGAUUUAACGACGUUUCUUCUGAGUGGUACAAGCAAAUAAUCAAAACUUUUAACAACGGAUCUCUUGGUUCUGGCAUCGAUGAAGAACGCAGCGAAAUGCGAUAAGUAAUGUGAAUUGCAGAAUUCAGUGAAUCAUCGAAUCUUUGAACGCACAUUGCGCCCGCCAGCAUUCUGGCGGGCAUGCCUGUUCGAGCGUCAUUUCAACCCUCAAGCUCUGCUUGGUGUUGGGGCCCUACGGCUGACGUAGGCCCUCAAAGGUAGUGGCGGACCCUCCCGGAGCCUCCUUUGCGUAGUAACUUUACGUCUCGCACUGGGAUCCGGAGGGACUCUUGCCGUAAAACCCCCAAUUUUCCAAAGGUUGACCUCGGAUCAGGUAGGAAUACCCGCUGAACUUAAGCAUAUCAAUAGCCGGAAGGAAGA
rnacentral:rRNA from 1 species